rnacentral:lncRNA from 1 species
AUAAUCAAGAACGGAGCAAUUAUCAAGUCUAAAAUCCUCUAACCACAAUCUAGCUACCUAACAGCAUAUAUAUCUAUCUAUCCUAACAAAUUAAUCAGCAAUCUAACUAAAAUUAACAAUAGAAUUAAUAAAAGAAAGUAAAGAAACAGAGCAGGAAGCAGAGAUGAAGCAGGGGACCUGAAAUGUAGCAAAGACAUACUGAAAAAUGGAAAGGAGAAGAAGAGCAGAAGUAGUGCCGCCCAGAGUUGGUGGUGGCCGGCUGAGCUCGCGGCAGCGUAGAGAGCGGCGGAACGAUGCAGGGCAGAGAGAUUCAGCUUCUCUCCGUGGCAGUGACGAGAGCUGGGGGGAGAAGCGUUCGAAGGGAAGAGGAGAGGCGAGAAGAGAAGAGGGAAGGUAAGAAUGGUGGUCAGCUUGCUAGACGAUGGGUCGCCGGAGACUGCUAUUGGCUGAAAGAGAGACGAGGAGGCGGUGACUGCUGUUGGCUGAGAGAGAGAGAGGGAGAAGUAGCGCCGUAGUGGGUUAGGAAUUUGGGUGAGUGAGACUGAUGAGAGUGAGGG